CAAUGGCAGGAAAGAGAAAAUUUCCCUGGGAAGACUGCAAGGACUUUUCUAAUUGGGAAAACUGAUGUAAUUUGCUGGGCUGGAAGGAGACUGUGUAGCUUCCCUGCCUUCCACAAGGGUACAGCCUGGCUUUCCUCAGCCUUCUGACCUGUUGUCAUAGCUUCUGAUCCUUUCCUUAGAAACUCCCUUGUUCUUUUGUCUGUUUUCCCCACAUUUUUCUUGAUGUAGAGGUUUCAAAGCUCAGUGCAGCUGCACUUUGCUAAUGCAGCACAGAGGGAUUUCUUCAUAUCCAGCUGACAAAGCUCCUGUUUGUUUUCUUGCAGUUUGAUGUCUGACUUAUUUACAGCAAUGUGUGACUCAUUCCAGCCUCUGAGCCGCUCUGAGGAAUUGCCCUGUUAAUGAUUCCUUGUCCUGUGUUUAUGCAAUUAACGAGUCCUGAAAUCACCUAACACUUUCUGAAUUGUCUGCAUUUUUCAAACCAGCUGUCCAGAACCUAUUCUGAUUUGUCAGCUUUGUGCUUGCACCUUCUUUUAGCUUGAGGUCUGUAUGUGAAUGUUAAUGUCUGACCUAGCUCCAUUGGUGGCAAUGGGAAUAUUUGUGUGUUUGACCCAGGACCAAUCUUUAAGUCACCUAGAUGAUAUAUUCUUCAACUGAUGGGUUUUUGCACACUUAGAGGAGCUGCUAUCCUAUAAAAGGAGGAAGCUCAGUUUGACCAGGCGUAGCAGCCAGCAUGGAUUUGUCAAGGAUAAAGCACUUCCUUGCUGUCAGGAAGGACGGAGCUCCAGUAAACUUUCCCUGAAAGAGUCACCUGGAAACCACAGAGAUAAAACUACCUGAGAAGGGAGAUGCCAGUGGGAGAUGGGAACGUGGGGCCAGAUGAGCCCAAAUCCUGAGCUCAGGAGAAUGAUGAGAGCGAUGAAAUGCCCCCUGCACGCGAGCACUGCACAGCACAUGCUAUUUUUGCCCUGAGUGGUUAUUCUUAGGAGCUGAAGGCUUUGACAUUCUGUGGGAGGGGACGCGUUGUGGUGUGAAGGCUGUUCUGUACAAAUAUAGACUGAGUGAAUGCACAAAUCCUCUUCAAGGAAGCAAAGCAGAAGAUGGGGGUGGUGUUAAAGUAAGGUGGGGAAGUCUGUUCAGACUGUGAGGCUGUUCUUCUUGCACCUGGUUGGCCUGGGCUGCUGCCUCGUAGGUGUUCCACUUUUGUCUGUACAUGCGUAUGAUUUUGGUUACCAGUGUGAACUCUGAAGCGACUACUUGUGUCUCUGGAGUCCUAGAAAGAGAAAGAAGAGCUCUUGAGGAAAAAUAAAAUAAAAUGAAGUAAAAGUCUAUCUCCAAAAUAAUUUUACCACCUUAAUCUGGAACGUGGCUUAUGUCUUUACCUGACAAUUUGGAAACAGGCAACAUUUUUAAAGUUCUAUUAAGAAAAAGCAGGUUUGUAGAAAACAGGGCAGAGCCAGCAUGAGACUUUAAAGACGCCGCUGUUACAAAAGUCAAUUUGCCCUCUCUUCCUUAUAACAAUUCACUAUUACUGUGGUCAAUGAAAAGAGGGAAAAUGGGCUGGAAAGAGAUACGUAUGUAGUGGAAUUAAUUUCUACUACAACACAAAGCCAUGAACCAAUAGUUUGUGAUGCUGCACUGAACUGAAAAGGUUUUAGAAGUACUAAGAUUUCUUAAUGUUUUCCUAAGAGUACAUUGUAGAUGAGAUGUUCUCAUUUGAAAAACUUGUUUUGUCUGUUUACCUUCUUGCUUUCUUGUCUUCUUGCUAGCUGGUGUUGCAGACAUGAAAUUUCCUGCUGAAGUUCUUGUAUUUUACUCUGUGCUCGUUCCCUGUCUGAUCUCUCUGACGUGAAAUCAUCUUUGUAAACUAGGACCUGAAAAAGAAUUAUGUCAACAUUUUAGUAAGAGUAUGGCAGGUGAGAUUAAAUAGAAUCAUAGAAUUACCAAGGUUGGAAAAGACCUAAAAGAUCAUCCAGUCCAACCAUUCACCUAUUAGCAAUAGCUCCCAAAUAGUUGGGGCUGAGACUCUGCUUUGUAAGCAUUUCUUUCCAGAAUCUCAGACCAUCUCUAUCAUAUCUGUGCUUUAAAUGCAGCUGUAUUUCUUUUUCAGAUCUUACAUAUUGUAAUAUUUUGUCAAACACAGACAUAAAAAUACUGUAAUGGCAGCAGAGCUGCUUGUAAUCCUUUAGGGAGGGUUUCUUUUUCCAAGUGUUGUUAAGUAGCCCAAUGAGACAAGUGGCAAAAGGGAAACAUUUGAGGUCUGGCUAAAAAGAAAGAACUCCCAAAUCUAGGAGGGGGGGGGAAAUAAAUAAAUAAAUAAGAAGUGAACCUGUUGCUCCAGCAUUUGUAUGCGCUCAUUAUCUCCUUCUCUGGCCUUCUUCACUUCUUCUAAUUCUCUCCUUGAUUUUUUGCACUCAUUCAUUUUUUCUUCCAGUAGCUUGUUCAGCCGGACUAUCUCCUUCUGCAUCAGCUCAGAAUUGGUUUGUGCUGAAGCUACACCGUGCUGCUGCUCCAGCUGCGACUUCAGCUCUUUCAGCUGCAAGUGGAGCCGCUUCACAUACUCAUCUCUACUAGCAUCGUACUUUUGCCAUUUUGCAUUUAAGUCUUCCACCUGAAAGAGCACCCAGUAGCGUCACAACAUGAAGAUGCAAACUUCCAGGCUCUCAUAGAUUGUCUAUACAGGCAGGACCCAAAUUUCUCUACAUAUCUAGUACAUAGUACACUGUCUCCACCACCAACUACCGAUGAGCUACUCCAUGGGAGAGCAGAAGGUCAUUAACCCAUAAACUGGGUCUCCAUAGACAGCUGUCCCCAUCUGCCAAGUCACAGAGAUGGUAUCAAAUCAUAUGGAAUGCAAAGGGUUGGUAGUCACCCCUGAACUAGUGCCAUUCUACUGGAGUGGAAUAUCAAUGCAGGGAAGGAAUAAGAAAGCCAUUUCCUUCUGCAUUGUAUUUUUAAUAACUAAAAUAGAUUUAAAAUAACAUAAUAAGCUGUUCUUGGCCAAGAGAACAAAGACUGCCAUGAAAGGACUAAAACCAUCGUGGAAUUGCAUUAAACUGGCCUUUAAGUUUGGAACAGGUAGGCCUGGUUAACCCAAAUACUGUCAUUCAAAAUAAUCCAAUUCUUACUUAAUAAAAAAUGAAGUACUCA